rnacentral:misc_RNA from 1 species
GGCAGCCGCGGUAAUUCCAGCUCCAAUAGCGUAUAUUAAAGUUGUUGCAGUUAAAAGCUCGUAGUUGAAUUUCGGGGUCUGUCCGUCGGUCGGGCUUCACGGUCCGUACUGGUGUGAUGGGUUCCUACCUUCUGAAUAACCGGCAUGCCAUUCAGUUGGUGCGCCGGGGAAGCAGAGCUAUUACCUUGAAAAAUUAGAGUGCUUAAAGCAGGCUAGUGCUUGAAUAGAUUAGCAUGGAAUAAUAAAAUAGGACGGCAUGGUUCUAUUUUGUUGGUUUCUAGGAUCACCGUAAUGAUUAAUAGGGAUAGUUGGGGGCAUUAGUAUUCAAUUGUCAGAGGUGAAAUUCUUGGAUUUAUUGAAGACUAACUUCUGCGAAAGCAUUUGCCAAGGAUGUUUUCAUUAAUCAAGAACGAAGUUAGGGAUCGAAGACGAUCAGAUACCGUCGUAGUCUUAACCAU